rnacentral:rRNA from 1 species
AAUCAACGCUGGCGGCGUGCCUCAGACAUGCAAGUCGAACGCGAAAGUCCCCUUCGGGGGACGAAGUAGAGUGGCGCACGGGUGAGUAACACGUAGGUAAUCUACCUUCGGAUGGGGAAUAACAACCGGAAACGGUUGCUAAUACCGCAUAAUGCAGCGGCACCUAAUGGUGACAGUUGUUAAAGCGGGGGAUCGAAAGACCUCGCGUCUGAAGAGGAGCCUGCGGCGGAUUAGCAGUUGGUAAGGUAAUGGCUUACCAAGGCGACGAUCCGUAGCCGGCCUGAGAGGGCGGUCGGCCACACUGACACUGGCAUACGGGUCAGACUCCUACGGGAGGCAGCAGUCGGGAAUUUUGGGCAAUGGGCGAAAGCCUGACCCAGCAACGCCGCGUGAAGG